ACGUAGGGUGCGAGCGUUAAUCGGAAUUACUGGGCGUAAAGCGUGCGCAGGCGGUUCGCUAAGACAGGUGUGAAAUCCCCCGGCUCAACCUGGGAAUGGCGUUUGAGACUGGGGGACUUGAGUGCAGCAGAGGGAAGUGGAAUUCCAUGUGUAGCGGUGAAAUGCGUAGAGAUGUGGAGGAACACCGGUGGCGAAGGCAGCUCUCUGGGCUGAAACUGACGCUGAGGCGCGCAAGCGUGGGGAGCAAACAG
rnacentral:rRNA from 1 species